GGUCAGCGCUCAUUCCUCAGCCGCAGCUCGGACACACCAACUCGAUCAGCUUUUCACUUUCUAAUUCCGAUGAGACGAUGCCAGGCUUGUGCGAGCCACCAAAUUCACUUCCGAUGCAAUGGAAACCAGGAAUUACGAUUACUGAGGUUAACUGUGGCACUCUUUAGUAUUCAGCCUAAUCAUUUAUAUAGGAACUAAACAGCCUACUAAAAUAACGCGACCAUGUUGAUAGAUUAACAUGUAGCUGCUUCCAUCGGAGGAAAAACAUUUCCCACCGGGUGCACGUGUUUACAAACAUGUACAAUUAUUUUGGGCGUUUUUGCCAUAAUAGUCCAUUCUGUAGCUUAUAUUGCGAUCCCAAAGCAAGACCAAUAAAAUGCUACAGAUUACAAAAGCAGCUCCGUCUUCAUUCUUGUAGUCGCAAGGGUAAAUUUAGGAAACGGCUUGUUUUUUUUAUGAACUAUUAAAUCUGUUUGGUCACAUCACUAGCCAGGCGAGAGAAGAGGGGACUUGUAACGUGGACACUGGCACUUUAAAUGCAGCCCGGGUCACUGGAAAAACACAAGCCUAAUGCAAUACAAAGACAAGACCAACGGAAGGAAUAUGAAGACAGUGUAAAGAUAAGUUUGUCGCUGGACUUGGCGGCAGCGCUGUGAUUUGUUCAUUAGAGCCUGUAAGCGCUCUGCUCUGCUGAAGUGUUUAUAUGCUAAAGGGAGCCGCUGACUCGCCCUGAUCAAUAGUCUAUGUUUGAUCUGUGGGCUUGAAACUGUGACACAGGACGAUUUCAAGUGGAAAGAGAUUAAGCACACAUGGGAAUGGGAUGUUUUCAGCCACUAGUGAGCUCAUCACUGAGCAGACGGAGUACAGCACUGACUACAGAGAACCUCAUGUGUGUGUGUGUGAGUUUGUUCCUACAUGCCUGCUGCUCAUCUGUUCAGUGCAGAACUGGAGAUCUGGAGAAGGGAGAUUAAACUUGUUCCCCUGUGUCCUGUAUCUCAGACUCUCCAUUCCUCACUGAUGUACAGGUGUGGAGGGUUUACAAAAACGAAUUCUUAUAAUUCCGGAAAACAGGGUAGAAAAUAAAAUAAGAUUUUAAGGAUAAUAUUAUAAUCUUAUUCAAUAAAUUUGAAUGAAAUUUUUUUUCAGCUUUCUAGGAAUGCAAAAUAAUGUUCAUGAAAUAUGACUUUUGUUUAAAAUGCUUUCAUUUACCACUAACACCCAUCUUACAGUACGAGACAAUACAUGAUGAAAUGCUUUAGCCUGUAUGUACCAGAUUUUAUUUCUGUGUUUGUAGAUAUUUUUUUAAUAAAGGCUAUUGUUAUGGCUCACUAUCA